rnacentral:rRNA from 1 species
GUGGGGAAUCUUCCGCAAUGGACGAAAGUCUGACGGAGCAACGCCGCGUGAGUGAUGAAGGUCUUCGGAUUGUAAAGCUCUGUUAAUCGGGACGAAAGAGCCUAGUGUGAAUAAUGCUAGGAAGUGACGGUACCGGUAUAGAAAGCCACGGCUAACUACGUGCCAGCAGCCGCGGUAAUACGUAGGUGGCAAGCGUUGUCCGGAAUUAUUGGGCGUAAAGCGCGCGCAGGCGGAUCUGCCAGUCUGUCUUAAAAGUUCGGGGCUUAACCCCGUGAUGGGAUGGAAACUACAGAUCUAGAGUAUCGGAGAGGAAAGUGGAAUUCCUAGUGUAGCGGUGAAAUGCGUAGAUAUUAGGAAGAACACCAGUGGCGAAGGCGACUUUCUGGACGAAAACUGACGCUGAGGCGCGAAAGCCAGGGGAGCGAACGGGAUUAGAAACCCCAGUAGUCC